rnacentral:rRNA from 1 species
CUCGUGAAUUCAUCUCCGGGGGUAGAGCACUGUUUCGGCAAGGGGGUCAUCCCGACUUACCAACCCGAUGCAAACUGCGAAUACCGGAGAAUGUUAUCACGGGAGACACACGGCGGGUGCUAACGUCCGUCGUGAAGAGGGAAACAACCCAGACCGCCAGCUAAGGUCCCAAAGUCAUGGUUAAGUGGGAAACGAUGUGGGAAGGCCCAGACAGCCAGGAUGUUGGCUUAGAAGCAGCCAUCAUUUAAAGAAAGCGUAAUAGCUCACUGGUCGAGUCGGCCUGCGCGGAAGAUGUAACGGGGCUAAACCAUGCACCGAAGCUGCGGCAGCGACGCUGAUGCGUUGUUGGGUAGGGGAGCGUUCUGUAAGCCUGUGAAGGUGUGCUGUGAGGCAUGCUGGAGGUAUCAGAAGUGCGAAUGCUGACAUAAGUAACGAUAAAGCGGGUGAAAAGCCCGCUCGCCGGAAGACCAAGGGUUCCUGUCCAACGUUAAUCGGGGCAGGGUGAGUCGACCCCUAAGGCGAGGCCGAAAGGCGUAGUCGAUGGGAAACAGGUUAAUAUUCCUGUACUUGGUGUUACUGCGAAGGGGGGACGGAGAAGGCUAUGUUGGCCGGGCGACGGUUGUCCCGGUUUAAGCGUGUAGGCUGGUUUUCCAGGCAAAUCCGGAAAAUCAAGGCUGAGGCGUGAUGACGAGGCACUACGGUGCUGAAGCAACAAAUGCCCUGCUUCCAGGAAAAGCCUCUAAGCAU